GGUGGCUCAGUUGUAGAGCUCUUGCCUUACAUGCAUGAGGCCCUGGGUUCGAUUCCUCAGCACCA
rnacentral:tRNA from 1 species